CCUACGGGAGGCUGCAGUCGAGAAUCAUUCACAAUGGGGGAAACCCUGAUGGGGCGACGCCGCGUGGGGGAAUGAAGGUCUGCGGAUUGUAAACCCCUGUCAUGGGGGAGCAAAUUAAAAAGAUAGUACCACAAGAGGAAGAGACGGCUAACUCUGUGCCAGCAGCCGCGGUAAGACAGAGGUCUCAAGCGUUGGUCGGAACCCCUGGGCGUAAAGGGGGCGUAGGCGGUUCCGUAAGUCGUGGGUGAAAGGCGCGGGCUCAACCCGCGGACGGCACCUGAUACUGCGAGACUAGAGUAAUGGAGGGGGAACCGGAAUUCUCGGUGUAGCCGU
rnacentral:rRNA from 1 species